rnacentral:sRNA from 12 species
AGUAAGAGGUGUCCAUGGAACGAAGUUCCAUUCAGGAUGGCACCGACGACAUGCCGCUGAGCGUAGCAAGGGGGCAGUACCUAUA